GAGUUUAUUCUGCACCAUUUGUGAAAACACACACUCACAAGCAAUUCGUUGAGUAGACACCGUGAAAUAAAAUUAUAUUGUGAAAAAUACUAUUUAUCAAACAGGUGAAACAAACUAAUCAGGUGCAUCUCCGUAAGCAAAGAAAAAGGCAGACCAAAAUCUAUAGGAUAUGAGACAUAUAUAUCUCUUUGUUUAUAUAUAGACACACACACACACACACGUCAUAAUACCUUGACUUUCUUCCAGAGACUAAACAUUGGUUUGUGGACUAAAAACUCAGAGAAAAAAUUACCAGAAUGGGUAAAUGAGUAAUGGAGCAAACAUGCACAUUACUGAGAGAGAACACAUGUCCAGUGCAUACAGUUAUAAACAACCAUACUUAUAUAAUUUCCAUGUGGGAGAAGUAUAUUAGGUUAUGAAAGCAAGCGCCGUCGUUCGUGAUUUUAACGCACACGACUGAUGUCAUGUCACUAUGGUGCCAACCGGCUUGCCCAUGACACAGCUAGAUUCUGUCACCUCAAUCUUUGUAAUCUCAUCAUCUUAGGACAUGCCACAUUUUGCAAUGUUGUGAGUAGAUGACAGAUAAGAUGUAGCAGUGUAUAAUGGAAUUAGGGGUGGAUCAGCAACCUGACAUGCGCGGGGGAGGUACUCUGCCCGCCACUUCCCAUCCCUAGAGGGGGCGUGCAGGGUCGGCUACCAUCACCUUGACGCUCGGCCCACGAGACUACCAUAGAUGUAUUCUCACCUGCGUCGAUGCCACGUGCAUGACGCCACGACCGCGGCUGCCACAGCCUGGCCUCUCCUACAAGUAAAAAAGUAAAUCACACCAAAAUCAACACAAAAGGCACACCAAAUCAAGUUGAGAAGUGAGAGUGCAAGGGAUUCAUCGUACCUGCUCCGAGUAGGUCGAGACGCAAUAGUAAAUCCCACCGGCUGCCUUCAUGUCCGUUCAUGAUUGGAACAGGCAUGUUUCAGCCAGCUCGAGGUGCACUUACCAAGGUUGCAAAUUACAUGAUUUACGUAUAUAUAUUGUGAGAAGAAAACCCAAAAAAACGAUUGCAUGUAUUUUUAGCGAAGUGUGCUUCUGAACCACAGCUUGGAAUUGUGUAAUCACGACAUGACAUCAUGAUUCCCCAAAACAAUUCAGACCAUAGUUAGCACAGUAUGGACACCUAAAUCUUGAACAUUCUAAAAUAAUUACAAUAUCCUCAUUUUUCUCUAUUUAUACCAGAAAUUAAGAAGAACCGCAAGCAAUCAUCAGGAAAUACCAAAUCUAGGGGUUACAGAAAGUCAAAGUGUUCCCAUCAAACUGUGGAGAACACUAAUGUUCUAUCUUGUUUUUAAUCAAAACUAAUGUUCUACCCGGGAAGAAAAAUGACAGAUGCAACUCACGCAGAUGACCAGGCCUAGGUAAUUUAUAGCAGAUGUCCACCCGUGAGUCCUUUUUCUGCGGAUUAAAAGAAACACUUGCAAGUUGUUAAACCAAAAACAGUGAAUAUAGCAUGCAAGUAAUAAUCAGAAUAUUAUUCAGCUUCCAUUUCCAUGAAUCAAUCAGAGAUAAAGUUGAUCUUUAUUUGACAUUCAAUCAAACAGUCCCAAUCAAAUUUAAUUUGGGGCAGGGUAGAAAGAUGCAAGUCAUAAUAGGGAGAAAAGCUAUCAAGAAUGCCAUGCUGCUUGUUGCGACAAAUUUACCAUGUUACACCUUUUCGUGGAAGGGUCAAAAGAUCUGGAUGCGCUUAUCUGAAAUUCUUAAAUGAUCAGUUCAAACAAAUUAUAGAGCCAAAGCAAUUCAAAAUUUAGCAUUAUGAAGGAAAGGCUCGUGAUUAGUAUGCAAAUACGAAAGGCACAAGAUUACUACGAAGUAGGAUGACUGUCUGCCAAAGGCAAAAAUAACUCAGUUUUAUGCUUUUCUAAACUAAAGCAGAAACGACCGUACAAUUGCAGGAGAAAAAUUGAUGUAUGCUUUUUCUAACCUCAGCAGUAACGAACAGACAAUUGCGGCAAACAGGCUUGGGCAUCACAAUCGAGAACAUCUAUCACCAGCAUACCGCACCGAUUGCGACACCUCAUGUUGUCAAUCUACACUCUGAAAUAUGUCUACAUACAUCCGUAUGUCAUAGUUCAUUUGAAAUGUCAAGAAAGACAAAUAUUUGGAAACGGAUGGAGUAAUAGAUAACUUAUGUGCCCCAUAAAAGGAUACCAAACGCCGUGUGAGAGAUAAGAAUUCAGGGUGACAUCUGUCUAUACAAUUAGUUUUCAAGGCAAACUUUUGCACCAAGAUUGUGACAUAGUCACAUUCCAUCGAAUGAACAUGUGAUGCUGACCGAAGACUUGAUCAACUGUUUAAAUAUGCCUAUGAUAAAAAAUAGUUUAUUCAAAGCACAUUUAUCUAAGAAUGUAGUACGAUUUGUUUAAAGUCAAAAAUGAGAGAUUUGGUUACAUCCUAAAUUAUCAUAUAUAUUGAGGAAUAAAUUUCAUCAACUCAUGAUCUAAAAUGAAAGGACUUCUUAUUAGUGGCAUAAAGUCGUGAGAAAGCCAUGUUAUAUGCACUCUAUUAUGUGUUGGAGCACAUGUGUGCUCGUUAUCCCUCCCAUCAAGUUGCCCCGGGAUUUACAGCCCAACACGCAUAGGCCACUAAUAAUCUAUGUAUGCUUCUUUUGAACAGUGAAUAUGGCCCACAUCUGAAGUCCAUGAAACAUGACUAUGUGAGGCACUUUCACACCGGAUCGAAUGUCAGACCACCAUAUGGGUCGUCCAAGACGAGAUUCUGGACUAACAGAGUCAUUUUCGAGUCGAUUUAUUAUGUCUGACUCAUGCAUGUGGCUUCCCUUCCCCUACACAACUAAAGCUCGUCCCUCACUGGCUAAAGCGAACUCCACCUAGAUCCACCAUUCCCCCGCAGUCAAUUCUUCCUCAUCAGCCAUUCCCGAAGACAUCUUGCCGCUCAUUCCUGGCUUCGAUUGCGGAGAGCAGAUCAUAACAUAGAUUGCCCAUAGUGUGGCAAAUGUCGGCAAUCUGCCCCCGGUCACCUGCAACCACAAGAGUCCCUUUAGUAUGAAUCAGAUUCACACCAUAACCAUUUGCAACAAUCUAGUCCUCUAAUACAAGCCCAUCAUAAUUCUCAAUAGUCAUUAAAAUAUGGAAUCAAAACAGCUAACAAUCUAUCAUGUAUCCAAAAUUGACACCUAUGCUUAUCAUACAUGCCGGAGAAAAAUAGCUACAAUGUUGCUGUCAAGAUAACAUUUUGGAAGCAUUUUCUCUCAAAUAAGUAUUAAUAGAUCAGACACUGACAAAAUGAUUAUGGUAGUGUAAACCAAACGAAAUGACAUGGCCCACACACCAAUCUAUUCAGGAGUGUUACAUUAAUCCAACAAUUUGUUCAGCGCAUGGUAGCUAUAUAAAUAAUCCAGAUAUCAUUCGUGUUGACAGAAAUUAGCAAUGCUCCCAAGUACAUACAAAAUUGUCGAGAGAGAAUUUCCUAGCAUGCUGAGUUUCCAAAGACUGGACUUCUUAAUAAUGACACACCUUCGUGUCCAUGCAGGAGCUUUAGGGUCGAUCAGGCCAUAGAUUUCUUCGAUGUUGGCGACGAAUCUUCCGUUCAAGCUUCCGUUGCCCCUCCACCACACAUAUUUGCGCGUCUCCACUCACUCCCCUCAUAGGCGGCCGCUGCUCGACAUGUUGAGCCACUCAUGGCUGUCUCCACUCACUCCCCUCAUAGGAAUAGUGAACCGUAAAAAUAUUUUCAGAGUAUUAGGCUUGUAUCAUGAAUUAUGUUCGCUUCUAUCAAUGCUUCAAGACGCAAAGCUUUUUGUGUUUGCUAAGAAAACUAAGCAAAUAUGAAGGUAAAAGGAAAUCAUCAAUAUAAUUCCGCAAAAACUACUACAUGGAACGGACAUGAAAUGUUGCGGAAAUUGCUGAAUCUUGCUUUUCUGGAACAACGAUAUAGAGUGUUCACUACUGACUUGCACAUACUUUGCAAUCAGAAAAAAGCUUCAUCAAUUAUGUAGACGCGGUGAAAGGGAAUACAACAUACAAAAUCUAGAUACAGAAUUCAAGAUAAUAAAGCUAGAUGGAGCUAACACGACACAAUAUGCUUCAUCGUUUAGCGGGUACUCCCAUGCAUAUACUAAAUCAUAUAGACAUACACUUCAACCAUCAGAACUAUGCCAGAACUGGAACUGGUUUGUUCUUACAUGUCAUUUCCAGUGAGAAAAGGGGGAUGCUAUACAUUCCAAGUCGCAAAAAUUGUCUUAAAAUUAUAAGAAGCAAACUAAAAAUUAUAAAUAAUCAGAAGAAGUGCUCCCGCUGAGCGAAAACACAUUGCAUCUGAACAAUGCAAAGCAACUGCAGCACAUAAGCUAGCACCUUAUUCAUGCUUUAAAGGUGUACAGUUUGACCACCUACUUGUAGCUACUAUACACAUUCACAAGACAUUAGGCCUUUCAUGUAAUAUUUUUCUAGGCAAGAAAACAUUGCUAUAUGACGUAACUCGUAGUAGUAGGUAAAUUCACAAACUGUGUAUGUUGUAUCAAUGACUCUGCUGUAAUCAAACUUUGAAGCUACAAUCAGAUAAAGGAAUAAUAUGAACUUCAGUUAACUGAUGUAAAAUAACAAAAAGAGGCAUGUCUAAAGAACACAAUGGAAGAAUAGAAAAAUGCAUGUAGAAGAUUACACAUGAUCUAAUCAUAUACCUUGCCACCCAAAAUUUUGCCUUUGUCGUAUCAAUGAGUUUGCUGUAAAUGAGGAAGUAGUAAUUUUUGCACGUACUCUAGGUGUUUUGUCAUCGGUUGAACGACAAGCUUCUUCAUUUUUGGAAACUACACGAACAAGACAAAACAUUUGUUCACAGUAAGUUAGUAACCCUAAAGGAUCUACUUACUCGGAGAAAUUCAUAAGAACAAACUGCAUAUACAGUAAAACACAACGAGCUCUGAAUCAAAGUAUAACUAUUUGAAAAUCUUUGGAGAAGAUCAAACAAUACAUCAUUGCAUCACUACUCGGGGUCACUAACGGAGGCGCCAAUUCCUUCGAGCUGGGGAAAGGGGAAUUGAAGGUGCUCGGCAGAACUGGAAGGGGGAGAAAUGAAAACCUCAAACACUACCAUUUGAAGAGCAGAGGAUAUAUAUUUAGGCACUCACAGAAAUAAUCAUCGGAGGUCCUGUACAGAUACAAGUAGGUGGUGGCAUCGCCGUCUUAGCUCGGUUGUCCAAGCAACACAGAAUGUCCUGAUCACCACACAGUUGAAAUUGAAAGUGUUUGCAACUCUGCAAAUUAUAUACAUAUCCAACGAUUUAGUUGGGAGUUUAUUCUGCACCAUUUGUGAAAACACACACUCACAAGCAAUUCGUUGAGUAGACACCAUGAAAUAAAAUUAUAUUGUGAAAAAUACUAUUUAUCAAACAGGUGAAACAAACUAAUCAGGUGCAUCUCCGUAAGCAAAGAAAAAGGCAGACCAAAAUCUAUAGGAUAUGAGACAUAUAUAUCUCUUUGUUUAUAUAUAGACACACACACACACGUCAUAAUACCUUGACUUUCUUCCAGAGACUAAACAUUGGUUUGUGGACUAAAAACUCAGAGAAAAAAUUACCAGAAUGGGUAAAUGAGUAAUGGAGCAAACAUGCACAUUACUGAGAGAGAACACAUGUCCAGUGCAUACAGUUAUAAACAACCAUACUUAUAUAAUUUCCAUGUGGGAGAAGUAUAUUAGGUUAUGAAAGCAAGCGCCGUCGUUCGUGAUUUUAACGCACACGACUGAUGUCAUGUCACAAUGGUGCCAACCGGCUUGCCCAUGACACAGCUAGAUUCUG
rnacentral:lncRNA from 1 species